UUUAUUUGUCUCGAAAUCUUGACCAUGGUCAUAUAUUUGACUGGACGGUUCACGGCAAUUUUAUUAUUACUAAUGUAUUUCAUAACACUAGACUUAUUCAAUCCUAAGUAACCUAUUAGCUUCUCAUUCGUGUGCGGUAUAUAUCAGCGUUUGGUAGUAUCAUAACAUAAUAGUAAAAUCUGUUGUUGGUUCAGUUGGUUGUUGUUAAUAGUCAAAUGUUCAUAUUUUGUGUGAGUCAGUUAUCAUAACAGAAAUAAGAUAUAAAGCUGUUAAUACCGUAAAUUGUGUAUGGAUAUGUUUGACUCAAAUUCUGUAUUCCCACAAUAAGUAUACGGGGAGCCCGUAAGAAAUCAGUGGUAUAUGAAGGCUUUCUUGUGCAACUUUAGUAUGAGCUGGGACAAGUAAAUGUAGUUAUGUAGAACAGAUAAUCUCCAUUGUGGUAGAUGGCGCUAUUUAUUAUUUGCUCUGUGAUACCACUUAGUUUCAACUUGCUAUAACAUAUUUUAUGUUGACAGGAUAUCCUGAACGAACUGAAAAUUUUUAAUGAGGCGCAGAAACAAAUAUUGAGUGUUUUGAAGGAGCGGAACGACUUGUUGGCGAAUCGUAUUAACACAUUGGAGGACGCCGAGAUUAUUGAGAACUUGGAAGACACAGUUAUAAUGGAAGAGGAAGACGUCUGAGCUAAGCGCUGUCCUCGCACCCUCCGUCUAGUUUACGUUUGCGGCCAUAUCAAAAUACACACUGUAUGUUUAUUAGGGUUCCGUACCAAAAAGGUACAAAAGGAACCCUUAUGGUGCUAUUGCUAAAUAUCUCGAGAAGUACUUAAGCUAUAGAUGUGAAAUUUGGAAUAGUAAUGAAUAACGCUGACCCAAACAUAUUGGAUGUGUAUUUAUUUUAUUUUAUUUGUAUUAAUAAUGGAAAAUUCCCAAUAUGAAGAGGGGGCAAAAUUUCAAAGUCUAGUUAAAUGGGUCAAGUGGGGUAUCAUUUGAAAGAGCUCGAAUUGAAAAUUACAAAACAAUUUUUUAUUUUCAUAGUAAAAAAAAUUUGACUUAUGAAGGAAUAUGUGAAAAAUAAUACCAUUCCCCCCACUCUUAUCUCCGAAGUUUAAGAAUAAAAAUUGUUUUUUUUUAUAUUGGUCAAGUCUUUCAUGAGAAAAUUUAAAGUUUGUACGGAACCCUCGGUGCGCGAGGUAAACGAACUCGCACUUGACUGGUUUUUCUUAUUGCCCAUAAGGCCCGUCCUUAGAUAUAUGUCAAUGAUUACGGUGAUCUCGAAAAUGGCUCAAAUGAUUUCAAUUAAAUUUGCUAUAUGGGGGUUUUCGGGGCGAUUUUGAGUUUUUACCUAUUUGUUUUCCGAGCAAAAGGAAUUAAAGCUUACUGAUUUUAAAAA